rnacentral:rRNA from 1 species
UGAGGAAUAUUGGUCAAUGGGCGGAAGCCUGAACCAGCCAAGUAGCGUGAGGGAUGACUGCCCUAUGGGUUGUAAACCUCUUUUAUAAGGGAAUAAAAUACGGGACGUGUCCUGUUUUGCAUGUACCUUAUGAAUAAGGACCGGCUAAUUCCGUGCCAGCAGCCGCGGUAAUACGGAAGGUCCGGGCGUUAUCCGGAUUUAUUGGGUUUAAAGGGAGCGUAGGCGGAUUUUUAAGUCAGUUGUGAAAGUUUGAGGCUCAACCUUAAAAUUGCAGUUGAAACUGGAAGUCUUGAGUGCACGCAGAGGUGCCGGAAUUCAUGGUGUAGCGGUGAAAUGCUUAGAUAUCAUGAAGAACUCCGAUCGCGAAGGCAAGUGCCUGGAGUGCUACUGACGCUGAGGCUCGAAAGU